AAUAUUGGACAAUGGGCGAAAGCCUGAUCCAGCCAUGCCGCGUGUGUGAAGAAGGUCUNAGGAUUNUNAAGCACUUUAAGUUGGGNGACAGGGCAGUAAGUUAAUAACUUGCUGUUUUGACGUUACCGACAGAAUAAGCACCGGCUAACUUUGUGCCAGCAGCCGCGGUAAUACGAAGGGUGCAAGUGUUAAGCGGAAUUACUGGGCGUAAAGCGCGCGUAGGUGGUUUGUUAAGUUGGAAGUGAAAGCCCCGGGCUCAACCUGGGAACAGCUUUCAAAACUGGCAAGCUAGAGUAUGGCAGAGGAUUGAGGAAUUUCCUGUGUAGCGGUGAAAUGCGUAGAUAUAGGAAGGAACACCAGUGGCGAAGGCGACUACCUGGACUGAUACUGACACUGAGGUGCGAAAGCGUGGGGAGCAAACA
rnacentral:rRNA from 1 species